GUAUCAACGCAGAGUACAUGGGAAUGUGAUGUGUCAAAAACUGCAACAUCGACCAUUCCUGAGUCUCUGACGAAGGAUAUGAGUAAGAGCAUAAUCGGUAGGACCCGAAAGAUGGUGAACUACACUUGAGUAGGGUGAAGCCAGGGGGAAACUCUGGUGGAGGCUCGUAGCGUUACUGACGUGCAAAUCGUUCGUCAAACUUGCGUGUAGGGGCGAAAGACUAAUCGAACCAUCUAGUAGCUGGUUCCCUCUGAAAUUUCUCUCAGGAAAGCAGGAACAGUUUAUGCAGUUUUAUCAGGUAAAGCUAAUGAUUAGAGGAAUCGGAGUCCUGUGGGCUUCGACCUAUUCUCAAACUUUAAAUUGGUAAGAACUCCGAGUUAUCUUAAUUGAACAAGGAGAAUCAAUGCAUUGUUCCUAGUGGGCCAUUUUUGGUAAGCAGAACUGGCGAUGAGGGAUGAACCUAACGCUGAGAUAAGGUGCCAAAAUUCGCAAUCAUUGGACACCAUAAAAGGCGUUGUUUCAUUGAGACAGCAGGACGGUAUCCAUAAUAGUAGGAAUCCGCUAAGGAGUGUCUUCAAACUCACCUGCUUAAUGGAUCAGCCCUGAAAAUGGAUGGCGCUACAUUGCGAUGCCGAUACUCGACCAUUAGAGCUAUUAUGAUGCUUUAAUGAGUAAGAGGGCGUGGGCAUGGUGUGGAAGCCGAGGCGUGAGCCUAGGUGGAACCGUGCUUAGUGCAGAUCUUGGUGGUAGUAGCAAUUAUUCAAAUGAGAACUUUGAAGGCCGAAGUGGAGAAGGGUUCCAUGAGAACAGUAUUUGGUCAUGGGUUACUCGGUCCUAAGGUAUAGGUUAACUCCUUAAUCCAUGUGCUAUUUGCACGAUACCGAAAGGGAAUGAGGUUUAUAUUCCUCAAGCUGGUCGAGGAUAUUUUGCGGUAACGCAAACAAGCUCGGAGACGUCAGCGUGAACUCCUGGAAGAAUUUUCUUUCUUUUUAACUGACUAUCGCCCUGGAAUUGGAUUAUCCAGAGAGAGGGCUUCAAGUCAGGAAGAGCAGCCUACUUUUUGGGCUGUCAGGUGCGUUCAUGAUGAUCAGUGAAAAUCCGGGGGAGAUUAUUAUUUGCUCGCCAGUCCGUACCAACAACCGCAUCAGGUCUCCUAGGUUAGCAGCCUCUGGUCGAUAGAAUAAUGUAGAUAAGGGAAUUCGGCAAAUUAGAUCCGUAACUUCGGGAAAAGGAUUGGCUCUGAAGAUUGGGCAUUUGGGCUCUACUGGAACGGUGAUUGCUCGACUUGUGGGAGUUUCGGCUUCUGCUGGGAAGGCGAGAGUCGCAAAGGUGUGAGGCUGUUUGCGAAAAACAAUCAAUUCAGAACUGAAGCGGACAAGGGGAUUCUAACUGUUUAAUAAAAACACAGCAAAGUGAUGGCCUGAAAAGGUUUUGACACUUUGUUAAUCCUGCCCAGUGCUUUGUACGUUAAUGUGAUGAAAGUUGAGCGAGCACAGGUAAACGGCGGAAGUAACUAUGACUUUCUUAAGGUAGCGAAAUGCCUCGGCAUGUAAUUUGUGUCCUGCAUGAAUGGAUCAAUGAGGUUCCUACUGUCCCUAUCUACUAUCUAGCGAACCCACAGCCAAGGGAACGGGCUUGGCAGAAUCAGCGGGGAAAGAAGACCCUGUUGAGCUUGACUCUAGUCUGACUUUGUGAAAUGAAAGAAAUGGUGUAGUAUAGGUGGGAGCUUCGCGGCGUCAAUGAAAUACCACUACAUUUUUAUUCAUUUUACUUAUUCCGUGAGGUAGAACGCCAGCAAUGGCAUUUCUAGAAUUAAUAUCGUCUAACGAUUUGAUCUAUGCGGAAGACAUAGUCUGGUGGGGAGUUUGGCUGGGGCGGUACAUCUGUUAAACGUCAACGCAGGUGUCCUAAGGAAGCUCAAAGAGAACAGAAAUCUCUUGUAGAACU
rnacentral:rRNA from 1 species